rnacentral:siRNA from 1 species
UACUAGGAUGGGUGACCUCCUG